GGGUGUGAGAGUGCUGUGUGUGAUGUGAGUGAGAGUGCUGUGUGUUUGUGCUGUGUGUGAUGGGUGUGAGAGUGCUGUGUGUGAAAGUGCUGUGUGUGAUGGGUGUGAGAGUGCUGUGUGUGAGAGUGCUGUGUGUGAUGGGUGUGAGAGUGCUGUGUGUGAUGUGAGUGAGAGUGCUGUGUGUGAGAGUGCUGUGUGUGAUGUGAGUGAGAGUGCUGUGUGUGAGAGUGCUGUGUGUGAUGGGUGUGAGAGUGCUGUGUGUGAUGUGAGAGUGCUGUGUGUGAUGGGUGUGAGAGUGCUGUGUGUGAUGGGUGUGAGAGUGCUGUAUAAAUGUUAGAAUGGAUUGUGUGU
rnacentral:lncRNA from 1 species